AGCGAACGCUGGCGGCAGGCCUAACACAUGCAAGUCGAACGCCUGUAGCAAUACAGGAGUGGCAGACGGGUGAGUAACACGUGGGAACGUGCCCUUCGGUUCGGAAUAACUCAGGGAAACUUGGGCUAAUACCGGAUACGUCCGCGAGGAGAAAGAUUCAUCGCCGAAGGAUCGGCCCGCGUCCGAUUAGCUAGUUGGUGGGGUAAUGGCCCACCAAGGCGACGAUCGGUAGCUGGUCUGAGAGGAUGAUCAGCCACACUGGGACUGAGACACGGCC
rnacentral:rRNA from 1 species